rnacentral:rRNA from 1 species
AUUGAACGCUGGCGGCAUGCCUUACACAUGCAAGUCGAACGGCAGCACGGGUGCUUGCACCUGGUGGCGAGUGGCGAACGGGUGAGUAAUACAUCGGAACAUGUCCUGUAGUGGGGGAUAGCCCGGCGAAAGCCGGAUUAAUACCGCAUACGAUCUACGGAUGAAAGUGGGGGACCUUCGGGCCUCGCGCUAUAGGGUUGGCCGAUGGCUGAUUAGCUAGUUGGUGGGGUAAAGGCCUACCAAGGCGACGAUCAGUAGCUGGUCUGAGAGGACGACCAGCCACACUGGGACUGAGACACGGCCCCGACUCCUACGGGAGGCAGCAGUGGGGAAUUUUGGACAAUGGGCGAAAGCCUGAUCCAGCAAUGCCGCGUGUGUGAAGAAGGCCUUCGGGUUGUAAAGCACUUUUGUCCGGAAAGAAAUCCUUGGCCCUAAUACGGUCGGGGGAUGACGGUACCGGAAGAAUAAGCACCGGCUAACUACGUG